GACGAACGCUGGCGGCGUGCUUAACACAUGCAAGUCGAACGAAGUGGCGAACGGGUGAGUAACGCGUAAUCAACCUGCCCUUCAGAGGGGGACAACAGUUGGAAACGACUGCUAAUACCGCAUACUGAAGGAGGGGAUUGCGUCGGAUUAGCUAGUUGGAGGGGUAAACGCCCACCAAGGCGAUGAUCAGUAGCCGGUCUGGGAGGAUGAACGGCCACAUUUGGAAUGAGACACGGCCCAGACUCCUACGGGAGGCAGCAGUGGGGAAUCUUCCGAAAUGGACGAAAGGCUGACGGAGCAACGCCGCGUGUGUGAAGAAGGCCUUCGGGUUGUAAAGCUCUGUUAAUCGGGACGCGGUACCGGAAGAGAAAGCCACGGCUAACUACGUGCCAGCCGCCGCGGUAAUUC
rnacentral:rRNA from 1 species